AGAGAGAGAGUAAAAUAACAGCCAAGGUAUCACAAUCAUUGUUUUUCCAGUGGCUAUUGUUGCGUUGUUUUAGUCAGCAUUCACAUUUUCUAGUGUGAUGCAUAAAGGAAACGUAGCUUGAAGCCGCCGCAUCAAAAGUUUAUGAGUCAUAUUUGAAGAGGGUUAAAGUUUCUUCACUUCCUGUGGUACCCUACGAUGAUGCAGAUAAAUUUGAUCAGAGUGAGCUUGAAGAUUAUCCGAGGACAUAAUGCCCCACUAUACGGGUCCAAAAUAUAUGCAUUGAGC